CAAGAAAAGCAAUCCUACUUCAAGUGACAGUAGCAUCCCUUUGAGGAAACCUGCCCCUCAAUGCCUGUUUCCCUUAGUUUUUCCUGGCUUUCUCCCUGGUCACUUAUUCACCGUGUGGAUGACGUCUGCUGUAAGUGUCAGAGCACAGCCUACAUUGUUAGGCUUCUCCCUCCAGCUCACCUCCCUCCAGCUUGUCUGUGUGUCUGUUUUUGUCCCAGAACCAUACUCUCUGAUUACUGUAGCUUUGUAAUAUAACUUAAAGCAAGGAAGUAUGAUGC
rnacentral:lncRNA from 1 species